ACCUGCCCAUCAGAAGGGGAUAACACUUGGAAACAGGUGCUAAUACCGUAUAACACUAUUUUCCGCAUGGAAGAAAGUUGAAAGGCGCUUUUGCGUCACUGAUGGAUGGACCCGCGGUGCAUUAGCUAGUUGGUGAGGUAACGGCUCACCAAGGCCACGAUGCAUAGCCGACCUGAGAGGGUGAUCGGCCACACUGGGACUGAGACACGGCCCAGACUCCUACGGGAGGCAGCAGUAGGGAAUCUUCGGCAAUGGACGAAAGUCUGACCGAGCAACGCCGCGUGAGUGAAGAAGGUUUUCGGAUCGUAAAACUCUGUUGUUAGAGAAGAACAAGGAUGAGAGUAGAACGUUCAUCCCUUGACGGUAUCUAACCAGAAAGCCACGGCUAACUACGUGCCAGCAGCCGCGGUAAUACGUAGGUGGCAAGCGUUGUCCGGAUUUAUUGGGCGUAAAGCGAGCGCAGGCGGUUUCUUAAGUCUGAUGUGAAAGCCCCCGGCUCAACCGGGGAGGGUCAUUGGAAACUGGGAGACUUGAGUGCAGAAGAGGAGAGUGGAAUUCCAUGUGUAGCGGUGAAAUGCGUAGAUAUAUGGAGGAACACCAGUGGCGAAGGCGGCUCUCUGGUCUGUAACUGACGCUGAGGCUCGAAAGCGUGGGGAGCGAACAGGAUUAGAUACCCUGGUAGUCCACGCCGUAAACGAUGAGUGCUAAGUGUUGGAGGGUUUC
rnacentral:rRNA from 1 species